CCAGGGAUAGCUCAGUUGGCAGAGCGCGCGAUCGAUAAUCGCGAGGUCGUGGGUUCAACUCCCACUCCCUGGACCA
rnacentral:tRNA from 1 species